rnacentral:rRNA from 1 species
UACAGAGGGUGCAAGCGUUGUCCGGAAUUAUUGGGCGUAAAGAGCUCGUAGGCGGUCUGUCGCGUCUGCUGUGAAAACUCAGGGCUUAACCCUGAGCUUGCAGUGGGUACGGGCAGACUAGAGUGCGGUAGGGGAGACUGGAAUUCCUGGUGUAGCGGUGAAAUGCGCAGAUAUCAGGAGGAACACCGGUGGCGAAGGCGGGUCUCUGGGCCGUAACUGACGCUGAGGAGCGAAAGCAUGGGGAGCGAACAGG